AAACGAAGAAAUAGAAGGCAAAACAAAAGUGUGAGCCUUGCUCACCUCCUCUUUCUGUUGAUUCUUCUUCCUCUUUCUCCUCUUAUUU
rnacentral:ribozyme from 13 species